rnacentral:rRNA from 1 species
AUUGAACGCUGGCGGCAGGCCUAACACAUGCAAGUCGAGCGGGGUUUUCGGACCUAGCGGCGGACGGGUGUGUAAUGCGUAGGAAGCUGCCCGAUAGAGGGGGAUACCAGUUGGAAACGACUGUUAAUACCGCAUAAUGUCUACGGACCAAAGUGUGGGACCUUCGGGCCACAUGCUAUCGGAUGCGCCUACGUGGGAUUAGCUAGUUGGUGAGGUAAUGGCUCACCAAGGCGACGAUCUCUAGCUGGUUUGAGAGGAUGAUCAGCCACACUGGAACUGAGACACGGUCCAGACUCCUACGGGAGGCAGCAGUGGGGAAUAUUGGACAAUGGGCGCAAGCCUGAUCCAGCCAUGCCGCGUGUGUGAAGAAGGCCUUCGGGUUGUAAAGCACUUUCAGCGAGGAGGAAGGGGGGUGUGUUAAUAGCACAUCAUCUUGACGUUACUCGCAGAAGAAGCACCGGCUAACUCUGUGCCAGCCGCCGCCGUAACAC